CUACGGGUUGCACCAGUGGGGAAUAUUGCACAAUGGGCGCAAGCCUGAUGCAGCCAUGCCGCGUGUAUGAAGAAGGCCUUCGGGUUGUAAAGUACUUUCAGCGGGGAGGAAGGGAGUAAAGUUAAUACCUUUGCUCAUUGACGUUACCCGCAGAAGAAGCACCGGCUAACUCCGUGCCAGCAGCCGCGGUAAUACGGAGGGUGCAAGCGUUAAUCGGAAUUACUGGGCGUAAAGCGCACGCAGGCGGUUUGUUAAGUCAGAUGUGAAAUCCCCGGGCUCAACCUGGGAACUGCAUCUGAUACUGGCAAGCUUGAGUCUCGUAGAGGGGGAUAGAAUUCCAGGUGUAGCGGUGAAAUGCGUAGAGAUCUGGAGGAAUACCGGUGGCGAAGGCGGCCCCCUGGACGAAGACUGACGCUCAGGUGCGAAAGCGUGGGGAGCAAACAGGAUUAGAUACUCCGGUAGUC
rnacentral:rRNA from 1 species